AAAUACCUUCGUGAUGUGGUUGUGGUAAUCAAGAUUAAUUGAUUACAAAGGGCAAUAUAUUAUUGCCCUUUUGUUUUU
rfam:Salmonella enterica subsp. enterica serovar Newport str. S09097 S_Newport_S09097_mira454_c1083, whole genome shotgun sequence.